rnacentral:rRNA from 1 species
GCAAGACCGGUGCCAGCCGCCGCGGUAACACCGGCGGCUCGAGUGGUAACCGUUAUUAUUGGGUCUAAAGGGUCUGUAGCCGGCCGGAUAAGUCUCUUGAGAAAUCCAGCAGCUCAACUGUUGGGCUUUCAGGAGAUACUGUUCGGCUCGAGGCCGGGAGAGGUGAGAGGUACUUCAGGGGUAGGGGUGAAAUCUUGUAAUCCUUGAAGGACCACCAGUGGCGAAGGCGUCUCACCAGAACGGACCUGACGGCAAGGGACGAAAGCUAGGGGCACGAACCGGAUUAGAUACCCGGGUAGUCCUAGCCGUAAACGAUACUCGCUAGGUGUCGGCCACGGUGCGACCGUUGUCGGUGCCGUAGGGAAGCCGUGAAGCGAG